rnacentral:siRNA from 1 species
UGUGGAGGAAACAGAGCGAG